rnacentral:rRNA from 1 species
CCUACGGGGGGCAGCAGUGAGGAAUAUUGGUCAAUGGACGAGAGUCUGAACCAGCCAAGUAGCGUGAAGGAUGACUGCCCUAUGGGUUGUAAACUUCUUUUAUAAAGGAAUAAAACGAGGCACGUGUGCCUUUUUGCAUGUACUUUAUGAAUAAGGAUCGGCUAACUCCGUGCCAGCAGCCGCGGUAAUACGGAGGAUCCGAGCGUUAUCCGGAUUUAUUGGGUUUAAAGGGAGCGUAGAUGGGUUGUUAAGUCAGUUGUGAAAGUUUGCGGCUCAACCGUAAAAUUGCAAUUGAUACUGGCAGUCUAGAGUACAGUUGAGGUAGGCGGAAUUCGUGGUGUAGCGGUGAAAUGCUUAGAGAUCACGAAGAACCCCGAUUGCGAAGGCAGCUUACUAAACUGUGACUGACAUUGAUGCUCGAAAGUGUGGGUAUCAAACAGGAUUAGAUACCCGGGUAGUC